AUGCAGACACUCACAGCGUCGACCUCGGUCUCCUCCAUACAGCGGCACCGGCCGCGCCCCGCCGGCCGGUCCAGCUCGGUCAGCUUCACCGCCCGCGCCGUCAGCUCCGUGCCGCGCGCGCCCUCCGGCGCCGCCCGCGCGCCGGCCCCGUCCCAGUUCGUGCGCGGCGCCGAUGCCAAGCCCCUCAUUGCCGUCCCCAAGGCGCCCGCGGUGGAGAGGCAGGAGAAGAAGCUCAACUUCUUCCAGCGCGCGGCGGCCACGGCGCUCGACGCCUUCGAGGAGGGCUUCGUGGCCAACGUGCUGGAGCGCCCCCACGGCCUCUCCAGGACGGUCGACCCCGCGGUGCAGAUCGCCGGCAACUUCGCGCCCGUCGGGGAGACCCCGCCCGUGCACGCGCUGCCGGUCACCGGCCGCAUCCCCCCGUUCAUCAACGGCGUGUACGCCCGCAACGGCGCCAACCCGCGCUUCGACCCCGUCGCCGGCCACCACCUGUUCGACGGCGACGGCAUGGUGCACGCCCUGCGGAUCCGCAACGGCGUCGCCGAGACGUACGCCUCCCGCUUCACCGAGACGGAGCGCCUGCAGCAGGAGCGCGCGCUCGGCCGCCCGAUGUUCCCCAAGGCCAUCGGCGAGCUGCACGGCCACUCCGGGAUCGCGCGCCUUGCUCUGUUCUACGCGCGCGCGGCCUGCGGCCUCAUCGACCCCUCGCGCGGCACCGGCGUGGCCAACGCCGGCCUCGUCUACUUCAACGGCCACCUCCUGGCCAUGUCCGAGGACGACAUCCCGUACCACGUCCGCGUCACCGACGACGGCGACCUCCAGACCGUCGGCCGCUACGACUUCGACGGGCAGCUCGAGUGCCCCAUGAUCGCGCACCCGAAACUCGACCCCGCCACCGGGGAGCUCCACGCGCUCAGCUACGACGUCAUCAAGAAGCCCUACCUCAAGUACUUCUACUUCGCGGCCGACGGCACCAAGUCGGCCGACGUCGAGAUCCCGCUGGACCAGCCCACCAUGAUCCACGACUUCGCCAUCACCGAGAAUUACGUGGUGGUGCCCGACCACCAGGUGGUGUUCAAGCUGCAAGAGAUGCUCCGCGGCGGCUCGCCCGUGGUGCUCGACAAGGAGAAGACGUCCCGCUUCGGCGUGCUGCCCAAGUGCGCGGCGGACGCGUCGGAGAUGGUGUGGGUGGACGUGCCGGACUGCUUCUGCUUCCACCUCUGGAACGCGUGGGAGGAGGAGGAGACCGAGGAGGUGGUGGUGAUCGGCUCCUGCAUGACCCCCGCCGACUCCAUCUUCAACGAGUCGGACGAGUGCCUCGAGAGCGUGCUCACGGAGAUCCGCCUCAACACCCGCACCGGCGAGUCCACGCGGCGGCCCAUCCUGGCGCUGUCGGAGCAGGUGAACCUGGAGGUCGGCAUGGUGAACUCCAACCUGCUGGGCCGCAAGACGCGGUACGCCUACCUGGCCGUGGCCGAGCCGUGGCCCAAGGUGUCCGGCUUCGCCAAGGUGGACCUCGCCACGGGGGAGCUCACCAAGUUCGAGUACGGCGAGGGCCGGUUCGGCGGCGAGCCCUGCUUCGUGCCCAUGGACCCGGCCGCGUCCCGCGGCGAGGACGACGGGUACAUUCUCACCUUCGUUCACGACGAGGCCGCCGGCACGUCGGAGCUCCUGGUGGUCAAUGCCGCCGACAUGCGGCUGGAGGCGACCAUCCAGCUGCCGUCCCGCGUGCCGUACGGCUUCCACGGCACCUUCGUCACCGGCAAGGAGCUCGAAUCCCAGGCCUGA
rnacentral:rRNA from 1 species